UUCAACUUGAGAGUUUGAUCCUGGCUCAGAACGAACGCUGGCGGCAGGCCUAACACAUGCAAGUCGAGCGCGCCCUUCGGGGUGAGCGGCGGACGGGUUAGUAACGCGUGGGAACGUGCCCAGAUCUAAGGAAUAGCCACUGGAAACGGUGAGUAAUACCUUAUACGCCCUUCGGGGGAAAGAUUUAUCGGAUUUGGAUCGGCCCGCGUUAGAUUAGGUAGUUGGUGGGGUAAUGGCCUACCAAGCCUACGAUCUAUAGCUGGUUUUAGAGGAUGAUCAGCAACACU
rnacentral:rRNA from 1 species